rnacentral:rRNA from 1 species
GAUGAACGCUGGCGGCGUGCUUAACACAUGCAAGUCGAACGAAGCAUUUGCGACAGAUUUUUUCGGAAUGAAGUUGCUUAUGACUGAGUGGCGGACGGGUGAGUAACGCGUGGGUAACCUGCCUUGUACUGGGGGAUAGCAGCUGGAAACGGCUGGUAAUACCGCAUAAGCGCACAAUGUUGCAUGACAUGGUGUGAAAAACUCCGGUGGUAUAAGAUGGACCCGCGUCUGAUUAGCUAGUGGGUGAGAUAACAGCCCACCAAGGCGACGAUCAGUAGCCGACCUGAGAGGGUGACCGGCCACAUUGGGACUGAGACACGGCCCAGACUCCUACGGGUGGCAGCAGUGGGGAAUAUUGCACAAUGGAGGAAACUCUGAUGCAGCGACGCCGCGUGAGUGAAGAAGUAAUUCGUUAUGUAAAGCUCUAUCAGCAGGGAAGAUAGUGACGGUACCUGACUAAGAAGCUCCGGCUAAAUACGUG